ANGGUGCGUAGGUGGCAUAUUANUCAGCGGUGAAAAGCUGUGGNUCAACCACAGUCUUGCCGNUGAUACUNGUUUGCUUGAGUACAGUUGAUGUAGGCGGAAUGCGUAGUGUAGCGGUGAAAUGCAUAGAUAUUACGCAGAACUCCGAUUGCGAAGGCAGCUUACAAAAGUGUUACUGACACUGAUACACGAAAGCGUGGGUAUCAAACAGGAUUAGAUACCCUGGUAGUCCACGCUGUAAAC
rnacentral:rRNA from 1 species